GUGGGGAAUAUUGGACAAUGGGCGAAAGCCUGAUCCAGCCAUGCCGCGUGUGUGAAGAAGGUCUUCGGAUUGUAAAGCACUUUAAGUUGGGAGGAAGGGCAGUAAGUUAAUACCUUGCUGUUUUGACGUUACCGACAGAAUAAGCACCGGCUAACUUCGUGCCAGCAGCCGCGGUAAUACGAAGGGUGCAAGCGUUAAUCGGAAUUACUGGGCGUAAAGCGCGCGUAGGUGGUUUUGUAAGUUGGAGGUGAAAUCCCCGGGCUCAACCUGGGAACUGCCUCCAAAACUGCAUGACUAGAGUACGGUAGAGGGUAGUGGAAUUUCCUGUGUAGCGGUGAAAUGCGUAGAUAUAGGAAGGAACACCAGUGGCGAAGGCGACUACCUGGACUGAUACUGACACUGAGGUGCGAAAGCUUGGGGAGCAAACAGGAUUAGAAACCCUAGUAGUCC
rnacentral:rRNA from 1 species